ACUGGACAUGCAAAAGGUGCUAAUUGGCAAGAGGAGAUCUAUCAGAAGAUCAAAGUUAUGAAGGAGACUUAUUUCCCUGAAAUAAAUGAAAUGUACCAGAGAAUUGCUGCCAAGUUACAGCAGCUUGACUCUCUUCCGCAACAACCGAAGUCAGAACAGCUUGAAAAGCUGGAGGUAUUCAAGGCCAAGUUGGAGCGCUUGAUAACAUGCUUACAAGUCUCUAAAAACAACAUCACACCUAGUUUCAAGGAGAAAUUGGGUUCCAAUGA